GAUGAACGCUGGCGGCGUGCCUAAUACAUGCAAGUCGAGCGAACAGACGAGGAGCUUGCUCCUCUGACGUUAGCGGCGGACGGGUGAGUAACACGUGGAUAACCUACCUAUAAGACUGGGAUAACUUCGGGAAACCGGAGCUAAUACCGGAUAAUAUAUUGAACCGCAUGGUUCAAUAGUGAAAGACGGUUUUGCCGUCACUUAUAGAUGGAUCCGCGCCGCAUUAGCUAGUUGGUAAGGUAACGGCUUACCAAGGCAACGAUGCGUAGCCGACCUGAGAGGGUGAUCGGCCACACUGGAACUGAGACACGGUCCAGACUCCUACGGGAGGCAGCAGUAGGGAAUCUUCCGCAAUGGGCGAAAGCCUGACGGAGCAACGCCGCGUGAGUGAUGAAGGUCUUCGGAUCGUAAAGCUCUGUUAUUAGGGAAGAACAAAUGUGUAAGUAACUAUGCACGUCUUGACGGUACCUAAUCAGAAAGCCACGGCUAACUACGUG
rnacentral:rRNA from 1 species